CUUUUUUUUUUUUAACAGUUUUCUGAUCCUAUGAACAAACUCUACCAGUAAAUUGGAGAGACUUCUUCCUUUCCAAGAGGAGCAGAAGUCCAGAGCAUUUUUCAGAUGAGUCCUUCAGAAUUGUCAAAAUAGCUAAGUCUUGGGCCGGAGCUGCGGGAGCCCUAGUGGGAUUGGCAGCCAGACCAGGACGGCUGGAUGGUCGGGACUCUUCGGCAAUCGCCUGUGUGAACACGGUGCCCACGGGAUCCUGGAUUUGGAUUUACUUUCUGGACAUUCUAGGACUUGAUUUCCCGACACAUCUC
rnacentral:lncRNA from 1 species